ensembl:lncRNA
AUGCCUGCUAUAAAGGGCUGAGGAGGAACUUCUUCACUUCAAUCAAAUCUGGAAACAAAAAAGAGCCUCCAACCAUCCUUCUUCUGACCUCAGUGGGUAUCCUGCCUUUGCAAGGUACCAUCAUGUCUUAAAUUGAGUAAGGCACUGAGAGAUCUACAUGGCUUGGCAGCUGUUCCUUCUGUCUCUCCAACUCAACCCACCUUACUGAGUUGCUCCUGUUUCUACUUCUGUUAGUGAAUGAGGGAUCAGUACUUUGCCCCCACAGUUUCUUCAGGAGUACCUUGUCCUAAAACAAAACCAAAUCUGGAAGGAGUAGAAUUUUCUGCUGGGACUUGGUAACAUUUCAUGGACAAGGAGGAUGUGACUCAUGCUGCUCAUGACUGCUGGAACCUAUAACCUCCUUUUCUCUUGGACUGAUACAAUGAUCUUCACUUUGAAAGAAGAAACAGAGACAUUUUUAACAGCAGAGAGACUUCACAAGUACUGGGAUGUUGAAAACCCAUCUCUGGCCCACCAGUGAAAAUAAUGACUCCUGCUAUUUUGGGUUCUGUGGAGCUAAGAUGAAGUAUCAAAAAAAGAUUCCGAUGUUUUCUGAUACCAUCGUGCUCCUUGGCAUAGGAGGGAUGAAUGGAACAGAAGCUCAUAUGUGGAAGAUGACUGAUUUUUGUAGCAUUGCAGGCAGGAGCUGCCAGCAGGGAAGCUAAUACAUGAGGGGCUGAGGAGUGAGUGCUUGAGGAGGAAACCAUCUAGAUCUCUUAGACAGCUCAUUCCUCACUGCGCCCCCACAGAACUUGACCACACCACUCAAGGAUGGACUCUAUAACUGUUUCCGUAAGCAAGAAUGCCUGCCAUGUGACUACAGAAGAAUCCAAGCAGCUGAGUUAAAAUUUUCAUUAUUUUUAAACAGUUGCAUAAGCCAUAAGUACUUUUCUUCUGGACUCCUGGACCUGAUGGUUUGCAGUCACAGUGCUGGAUGGACAGUUACUUGCUGCAGGAUCUUCCAGAGGCUCCACUGAUAUUAUCACAUCUGAAAGCACAGCACCUUAUCCUUAACAUUCUCCAAUUCUGCCCAAUUUCAAAAUGAAUAGUUGGAGAGUUUCUGAGCUUCUCCUUUCUUUUUGCUCAAGAAACGUUAUAGGAAAUGAAAUAUAAAAUCAUAUCAGCAUCUAAUCAAAUUCCCAGCCCCUUUUCAUUUUCAAAGCAUUCCCUACACUUAGCUGCGCAGUCUUGCUGAGAUAAAAUGUGGGCUGUGCAACUCCAUCUCUCUGUGGGACAUUAUUCUAUUGCUUUGAUGAUAGCCUUCAGAGCUUCUAUCGCUACCCCAUGACUUAAAAUACAUUUGCUGCAGGGUCAGGCUCCCAUCUGCUUUGCUCUUGGCAGCUGAAGUCAGCUUACUACAGAAACAAAGGUGGGGGGACGAAACAGGAAAGGAAAGCAUAAUGGUUAAAUGUUUUGUCCUUUCUGUUAGAUGUGAGGUCAUUUGCUGAAUAGGCAGCAAAACUGUCCCUGUUCUCUGCAUGGAUGCCAACAUGGGCCAACUGGGGAAGAAACAUAUAGUUCACAGAGAAGUCACUUCUUGUUCUUCUGAAAAGCAAAAUGUUUACACUGCAGGAGAAAUAGAUUUGCCAGAAGUUGGAGCCAUUCAAUGAAGAAAUUAAUUUAAACUAAGACUGCAUUUUCCAGUUUUGAUAAAGACUUUUCAACCUGCUACUUGCUUCAGCUACUUCUUGAAAACAAAACUAAACUAACACUGAUUACUGCAGUGAUGUUUUAAAGAUCUAGAAAUGAGAACUUAUCUCCCUUUUAUAUAGGAGAUGCAUUUCAUUUUUACAUAUCAGUUAAAUGUACCCUAUAUUCCUACAUUUUAUUCAAAAUCAUGUCAACUUGUGACCCAAGCACUGAUAGCUUAGCACAUGUAAAUUCCCUGGAAUUAUGGAUGUAUUUUUGUUUAUGCUGCUCGUUUCUUACUCCUAGCUGGAGAAAGUCACCUAGAACUUAGCAUUACCUUUGAGUUUCUUGGCUCCCACUAAAAG